rnacentral:rRNA from 1 species
UCGGACGUAGUUUGACUCCGUGGCUCAAGAACGACGCUGGCGGCAGGCCUAACACAUGCAAGUCGAGCGAUCCUUUCGGGGGUAGCGGCGGACGGGUGAGUAACGCGUGGGAACGUACCCUUUGCUACGGAAUAGCCCCGGGAAACUGGGAGUAAUACCGUAUGUGCCCUCGUGGGGGAAAGAUUUAUCGGCAAAGGAUCGGCCCGCGUUGGAUUAGGUAGUUGGUGGGGUAAUGGCCUACCAAGCCGACGAUCCAUAGCUGGUUUGAGAGGAUGAUCAGCCACACUGGGACUGAGACACGGCCCAGACUCCUACGGGAGGCAGCAGUGGGGAAUCUUAGACAAUGGGCGCAAGCCUGAUCUAGCCAUGCCGCGUGAUCGAUGAAGGCCUUAGGGUUGUAAAGAUCUUUCAGUGGGGAAGAUAAUGACUGUACCCACAGAAGAAGCCCCGGCUAACUCCGUG